UACCUCUCAGGAUUGCACCUGGAGAGUUUCCAGUCCUCUACCAGUCUCAGCUAUGGAAGGGAGAGUCAAGCAGAGGCCUGCCCAUUCCAAUCUUAGUUUGGGCAGUGGCUAGCGAGUGGAAGGCAAUCUGCUACGAGU